UGGGGAAUAUUGCGCAAUGGGCGAAAGCCUGACGCAGCGACGCCGCGUGAGGGAUGAAGGUUUUCGGAUCGUAAACCUCUGUCAGAAGGGAAGAAACCGCACUGUGCUAAUCAGCAGUGCCUUGACGGUACCUUCAAAGGAAGCACCGGCUAACUCCGUGCCAGCAGCCGCGGUAAUACGGAGGGUGCAAGCGUUAAUCGGAAUUACUGGGCGUAAAGCGCACGUAGGCUGCUUUGUAAGUCAGGGGUGAAAUCCCACGGCUCAACCGUGGAACUGCCUUUGAUACUGCUUAGCUUGAAUCCGGGAGAGGGUGGCGGAAUUCCAGGUGUAGGAGUGAAAUCCGUAGAUAUCUGGAGGAACAUCAGUGGCGAAGGCGGCCACCUGGACCGGCAUUGACGCUGAGGUGCGAAAGCGUGGGGAGCAAACAGG
rnacentral:rRNA from 1 species